rnacentral:lncRNA from 1 species
AGUAAGUUUUUGUUGUUCUAUGAUAAGACAACCAGGUGGGUGUGAGUUCUUGCACUUAACAAGGACCAGGGAGAAAUAGAAAGAAGUAAGUGAACGUCCUUUAUUUUUUUUUAUUUUUGUAUCAUUGUGAAUAAUUUUUUUGUACUGUUUCUGGAUUCUCUGCCACUUGUUACUGUUUUGUUAUCCAUCAGUCUUAAAUGCGAAAAAGACAUGGGGACCAAAAAGCUGUCCCCCCUUAGAAGCCUAAGAUUUGUAUGCAUCCAAGCCUCUGCAUCCUGCCUGCAGUGUGGCUAAAGCCCCUUUGUCAUCAAGGCUUGAAUUUGGGUCCACAUGAAACUCUGAAAAAAGGUUUUGACAACAAAUCUCUCUUGAGUGGGUAAUAUACAUAUAUAUAUAUAUAUAUAUAAACAGUUAUUUAUUUAUUUAUUUAUUUAUUUAUUGAAGUGUUUAUAUACAAUUCAUGGCAUGAUUAACUUCUGGCAAAAGAAUGAACACUCACGUGCUUCUAGUUUAGAGCUUUAUUACUUUUGGAAUUCACUUUCUAAGAAUAAAUACACAAUCAUUACAUAUGCGCUGAGGACACAAUAAUUUUGAUAUAAUGAAAGAAUAUAGUAAUGAUAGUUUUAGAGAAAGAAAAGUUUGCAUUUAAUCAAUUCUUGACUGAGUUUGUCAUUUGAGUAAAUACAACUAAAUUAGCUAUAAAGUUAUAUAAACCAGAUUUGAAGACGACAGUGUUAAUUAAAGUGUACAAUCCUUAAAACAACAGAAGCAAAAUCAAUAUUAUAUUACACGAAAUAAAAUGGCCAAGCUUGAUUAUAAAUAUGAUAACUACCUUGUUAAAAUGUGCUGAAGAAUGAUGAAAGGACGAUUGUUGAGUUAAAAAACUGAGUGCAAUGUGUGAUGGUAGAAUAUUACAAAAAAUAUAUACAUGUAUAUGUCUAUGAAAUUUACUUACUUUUUAAAAUAAAUGCUGAAGCUCGAGCUUUCCAUUUUAAUUUAUGAAAACUACUAUUAUUUUCACACAAAUUACAUCAUACUGACAAAAUCAAAUCAAAUCAAAGGCACCACUAGUAUUAUUUCAAGUUAACCUUCUUUUUUUUUUUCUUUUUUUUAUAGCAUUACAAAAUUUACUAAAAACUAUUAUUCAAAUUUUUGUUUUGAAACAAGUAGUAGCAAUAUUUGUCACAAGAAAAGUAUGCAACAUGGAAUAUGAAAUCUGUACAC